CCAUAUUCGCCAGAAAAUUACGGGCGAAAGCCUAAAACUCAGAAGACUUGACGGUGUCCCAACCCCCCUAGAGGAGCCUGUUCCAUAAUCGACAACCCCCGAUACACCUAACCACCCCUAGACCAAACCAGCCUAUAUACCGCCGUCGAACAGCUUACCUUUAAAAGACUACAAGUAAGCCAAAUAGUAAACACUAACAAGUCAGGUCAAGGUGUAGCUUAUGGGGUGGAGGAAAUGGGCUACAUUAUUUAAUGUAAAUUACACGAACUACCCCAUGAAAAAGAUAAUGAAGGCGGAUUUAGCAGUAAG
rnacentral:rRNA from 1 species